rnacentral:tRNA from 1 species
AAGUUUGAAGUGAUUAAAUCACAAUUAGUUUCGACCUAAUCUUAGGUAAAUAUACCCUAACUUA